UGCCGAACGAAUUCCAGGAAUUUAGGG
rnacentral:piRNA from 1 species